rnacentral:rRNA from 1 species
GUGGGGAAUUUUGGACAAUGGGCGCAAGCCUGAUCCAGCAAUGCCGCGUGCAGGAAGAAGGCCUUUUGGUUGUAAAGCACUUUAAGCGAGGAGGAGGCUACCGAGAUUAAUACUCUUGGAUAGUGGACGUUACUCGCAGAAUAAGCACCGGCUAACUCUGUGCCAGCAGCCGCGGUAAUACAGAGGGUGCGAGCGUUAAUCGGAUUUACUGGGCGUAAAGCGCGCGUAGGUGGCCAAUUAAGUCAAAUGUGAAAUCCCCGAGCUUAACUUGGGAAUUGCAUUCGAUACUGGUUGGCUAGAGUAUGGGAGAGGAUGGUAGAAUUCCAGGUGUAGCGGUGAAAUGCGUAGAGAUCUGGAGGAAUACCGAUGGCGAAGGCAGCCAUCUGGCCUAAUACUGACACUGAGGUGCGAAAGCAUGGGGAGCAAACAGGAUUAGAUACCCGAGUAGUCC